CUUAUACUUUCUUCGUUUCAAAAUUCUUAUCUUAGAUUUGUUUCGAUAUGAAUGUAUCUAGUCAUGUUAUAGUAUUUAGAUACAUUUAUUUUUAAACAAACUUAAGAUAAGAAUUUAGAAACCGAGGAGUACAUA
rnacentral:pre_miRNA from 1 species